GUUUAUUGAUUGGCGUAUGUUGAACCAGCCUUGCAUCCGAGGGAUGAAGCCCACUUGAUUAUGGUGGAUAAGCUUUUUGAUGUGCUGCUGGAUUCGGUUGGAAGAAAAACAAAUGACCUUGGAAUGAAAAACUUUAAGGCUAAUCCAUCAAGACGUGUCAACAAAGAGAUCAUCCCUCUAUGUGUUCCAGGGUCAAAUGUGCAAAAGUUGGACAGUAUUUAUUUGUUCUAACGUCCUACAUUAGAGAUCACCAAGCAAGACUUUUUUCAAGAAGCAAAAACUCUCAUUGCCCAACAUUAUGAGAAAAUAAAUGAGAAUAAAGUUCAAGGUACUUCUAUAAAUGUUUUUAGAAAGAAACACCAAAAACCGAAAUCUGGCAAAUACAUACCUUUGGAGAUUGACAAAAAGGUAACACGUGAUGUGGUGCAAGAACAUCGGGCCGCACUCAGAAGGAUUUGCUUUCCCAAGGAGCUUUCCAAAAGCGAGCAUCUUCAGGAACCCGCACAACGAAUCUCCUUCAAGGAACCACACAUUUUUAGUAGAAGAGAAAGAUGCAGGCCCAUAGAUCUAAUUACAAAAGACAAAGCAUUCUAUGACUGGAGAGGAUUUGUGCCGACAAGGUCUUUCCGUUUGGCUUGUGACUCCCGUCGAGUUAGUUUCUCUCAAUCAUCAUCAGUAUUUCGGGAUUAUUAUUCUAAAACCUU
rnacentral:sRNA from 1 species